AAUAAUAUAAUUAUUUCUCCUUUGACUUCAUCAUGUUCAUUAACUGUUACUGGUCUACUGUUCUUUUGAGAAAAGUAAAGUGAACGGCUUUCAUUUUCCACAUUGUUCUAUAAACUGUUUCGGUAUCUUAACUUUGUCCGUGUGAUGAAUUUUUCAUCAUUUUCAUGUCCUGAACUCGGCACUGGAACUCGGGUCAUAUAAGUUAAUCUAUAGAAACAUUUCACAUAUAAUCCGCUCCAAUCAAUUGUACGCUAAAUGUCAGUGUUUUUGGCAUAAUUUGAGCAGAAAAUUCGUGAAACUGUAGUCUAUAAUGUUGUUUUUCAACACACAUGUUUACAUUCAUGGAGACUGCCAUUUUUUUCUACCAGACUAUAUAUAUAACCGCUGAUUUGAUUGGAUAACUCUAUAUCCGGGAUUUCCGAUCGGCCAAUCAGAUAGUCGUUAUCAUUAAUACACGGAAUGUGUUCAAAUUUGAAACUAAAAAUAUUGUACGAGUAUGUAUCCUGUCCAGCAUUGUCCAGCUGUGGUUACAUUAAUCAUGUUAAUAAUAAUUAAUACUCAACAACCUUCGAUAAAUAAAGAAAUAGACAUUAAAGGCAGAACAUUUAGGUAUGACAUUAGCUGUUGAACCAAGAAUUUACGAUGAGACGAUGUGCUGAUGUAGGGCAGACGUACAGCAGAUACAGGUUGUCCAUAUAUUAAAAGGGAUUGAUCAUGGUGAAGGUACAAAGCUGCAAAAAUGAUGACUGUGCAUCGAUCAAUAUCCACUCAAUAAUAUGAAAACACGAUGAAAACAAACGAACCAGCAGCAGAAAAGAAAUUUGAGUAUAAGAUUAUUGAAAGAUUAAUCAAUGAAGACUUAAUGGAACAGGAUUGGAAUGCAGAAACUUUGGACUUAAUUCAUGAAUAAUAUCAAUGGAUGAUGAAGAAAACUGACCAAACUGACAAAGUAUUUCGUAUGCAUGUAAACUGGACAUUUUUGUUUGGUUAAUGCACAAUAAACAAAUUUGUAAAAUUGAAAAUUAAAACCAUUUGUGAAAGAUUUCAAGAGGACCAAAAGUUACCAUGGACUUAUGAAUGAUUUAACCAGAAAAAUGAUUUACAUGUACAAUUAAGUAAAUACAUCUUUGACUAAAAAAUGAUAAUUUAUCAACGUUAAUAUUUUAAAGAGGUUGAUCUUUUCGUUUAAAAGGUCUUAAAUGUGGAUGAUGUAUAAACUGUUGUAAUUUCUUUAAUUGUUGACUUGCAUUAAAAUGGUUAUUGUCUUA